AGUGAACGCUGGCGGUAUGCCUAACACAUGCAAGUCGAACGGCAGCACAGUAAAAGCUUGCUCUUACUGGUGGCGAGUGGCGUACGGGGGAGGAAUACAUCGUAAUCUACUUUUUCGUGGGUGAUAACGUAGGGAAACAUACGCUAAUACCGCAUACGACCUACGGGAUAAAGCAGGGGAUCUUCGGACCUUUCGCUAUUGAAUGAGCCGAUGUCGGAUUAGCUAGGUGGCGGGGUAAAGGCCCACCAAGGCGACGAUCCGUAGCUGGUCUGAGAGGAUGAUCAGCCACACUGGAACUGAGACACGGUCCAGACUCCUACGGGAGGCAGCAGUGGGGAAUAUUGGACAAUGGGAGCAAGGAUGAUUCAGCAAUACGGGGUGGCUGAAGAAGGCAUUCGGGUGGUAAAGCACUUUUGUUGGGAAAGAAAAGCAGCAGGUUAAGACCCAGAUGUUCUGACGGUACCCAAAGAAUAAGCACCGGCUAACUUCGUG
rnacentral:rRNA from 1 species